rnacentral:rRNA from 1 species
GGACGGCCACAUUGGGACUGAGAUACGGCCCAGACUCCUACGGGAGGCAGCAGGUAAGAAUAUUCCGCAAUGGGGGGAACCCUGACGGAGCGACGCCGCGUGAACGAAGAAGGCCGGAAGGUUGUAAAGUUCUUUUCUGUCCGAGGAAUAAGUGUAGGAGGAAAUGCCUGCAUGGUGACGGUAGGGCAGGAAUAAGCACCGGCUAAUUACGUGCCAGCAGCCGCGGUAACACGUAAGGUGCGAGCGUUGUUCGGAAUUAUUGGGCGUAAAGGGCAUGCAGGCGGGUCGCCAAGCUUGGUAAGAAAUACCGGGGCUCAACUCCGGAGCUAUAUUGAGAACUGGCGAGCUAGAGUUGCCGAAGGGUAUCCGGAAUUCCGCGUGAAGGGGUGAAAUCUGUAGAUAUGCGGAAGAACACCGAUGGCGAAGGCAGGAUACCGGCGGACGACUGACGCUGAGGUGCGAAGGUGCGGGGAGCAAACAGGAUUAGAUACCCUGGUAGUCCGCACAGUCAACGAUGUACACUGGGCGUGUGCGCAAGAGCGUGCGUGCCGAAGCAAACGCGAUAAGUGUACCGCCUGGGGAGUAUGCCCGCAAGGGUGAAACUCAAAGGAAUUGACGGGGGCCCGCACAAGCGGUGGAGCAUGUGGUUUAAUUCGAUGGUACGCGAGGAACCUUACCUGGGUUUGACAUACACAGCGAUCAUAUAGAGAUAUGUGAGCGUAGCAAUACGGCUGUGAACAGGUGCUGCAUGGCUGUCGUCAGCUCGUGCCGUGAGGUGUUGGGUUAAGUCCCGCAACGAGCGCAACCCCUACUGCCGGUUACUAACAGGUAAAGCUGAGGACUCAGGCGGAACUGCCUGCGACAAGCAGGAGGAAGGCGGGGACGACGUCAAGUCAUCAUGGCCCUUAUGUCCAGGGCUACACACGUGCUACAAUGGCCGCCACAGAGCGGGGCGAAGCCGAGAGGCGGAGCAGAACGCAGAAAAGCGGUCGUAGUCCGGAUUGAAGUCUGAAACUCGACUUCAUGAAGCUGGAAUCGCUAGUAACCGCACAUCAGCACGGCGCGGUGAAUACGUUCCCGGGCCUUGUACACACCGCCCGUCACACCAUCCGAGCAGGGGGUACCCGAAGCCGGCAGUCCAACCGCAAGGGGGACGCUGUCGAAGGUACGCUUUGUGAGGGGGGUGAAGUCGUAACAAGGUAGCCGUACCGGAAGGUGCGGCUG